AUGGAGUGGAGUGAAGCUAAGAAGACGACAAUGCUGAGAGUGUUUCAUUUGGAUUGAAAGUGCUGAGGAGGAUAUUUUGAUUCAGCUGAACUGGUGUGCUGGUGGUGUUGAUUAGGAUGUGUUGUAUCUAGAGAUGGAAAGUUUUGUGAACUGGUGUUGGAAGUGGAGUUGAACUGUGGGUGUGGGUGAUAUGGAAUGCAAUUGAGUUGCAGUCAAAGAUUAUGAAUAAACUGUGGGGGGUUCAUGGUAUUAAAUGGAGCUGGUAUUAGUAUUACAGAUAUGAAGAUUGUGACUUUGAAGUUAGUGUUGUAUGAGAUGAAGUUUAGAUGUAUGAAAUUGAAAUAACUGAGUUGGUGUAAGAGUAAUGAAAUGGAAAGCAAUUACAGGUGUAAAUGAUACAAACGGAUUCUAGUGUUGUAAUUAGAAGUUUUAGAAUUACAAGGCAGAGAAGAGAUCUUUAAGUUGUGUUCACUUGCAAUGAGAGUUAGAAAUGCGUUAUUUGAGUUUUAGUCUGUUAUGUGUUGCUCUAUGCUUUAGUCUUGGCAUGUUUAAUCUGAAUCAUUUUUACUGACUGAGUUAACUCACCUAUUUCCUAUUUGACUCAGUGAACCUUGGAUUCAGUUGAUUUGACCUUGACCUCCUGACAGUUGACUGUUAAUUGACCUCUGACUGUUAUUGACAGUUAGUUGACUUAGGUGGAAUGGGCCUCGUGUAAUGGACUUGGUUUAGUGAACUUGGGCUUAUAGUCAGUUUUCCAAAUGAAUAUAUAAUAUACCUUAGCGGUCUGAAUUAACAUUUGGUUUCUUAUAUAAGGUUGUAGAUAUUUUUAAGACUUAACUAAUGACUUUUAGAAUCAACCUAAUUUAAUUAGGAACUCUUAAAUAUGCUAAAGAUAGAUAAAUAAAAGGUGUAGAACCAUAAAUGGACUUAGAACCUUAGAUAAUUCACUUAGCAUAUAACUGGAGCUUGUAUGAGAUUAUGUAUGAGCCUUGUAUGAUCCUUUUGGAUAAAUUUUUAGAGUGCUUGUGUGAUUAACAAUUAGUCUGUAUUAACGACGAUCGAUUCAAAGGAUGAACCAGUGGAUCGUGGAUCUCGAGGUAGGCGUGGAUUGUCAUCAAAAGAUGUGGGAAUACUUUAACUCUUUUGUAACCAUUGAUGUUGUUUCUUUGAUAAAAGUCUUUGUUUAACAAACUCAUGCAUUGCCUAAUUGUGUAUUCCAUGCAUUGUUUAUUUUAAAUUUCGAAAAUACUAUUGAUUCUUUUAAUCUUUCCAUUGCUUGGAAAGGAAUUGUAAUGCUUCGCUUGUCUUCAUGAUUGUCUUUGGGAAAUGAGAAUCCAACUAUGGUAUAUCGGAUACGCUCCUUCGUUAUUUUACUUUUGUGCUUUAUACGGUGUGGAAUUGGCAUCAAUAUUACGGGUGUGUACAUUCACCCACAGACUAUCUAGGUGGUACGGCCAUCAAUAUUACGACGUGUAAAUGUCGUCACAGAAAGUUAUCAGUUUCAGAGACAGAUCAGAGUUGCGCAGCGGAAGCUUCGAGGAGUUGACUUCAUUAAUUAGUUAAGUUCUGCUAUAUUUAUUAUGUUUGCAAACCAAAUGACUAUUGUAUAUGUAUCAUUUAAGAGAAGUUCUUGUAUAUGUAUAUUUCUAAGCGGGGCUAGUUUUGGGUUAA